AAAAUAUGGUGAGGGCAUUUUCUCAAACAAAUCUUUAAAAUCUUUCCCAAGCCUCAUACAAGCUUUCUUUGAUAUGAUGAGCAAAAGUCAUAAUCUCAUUUUCUUAAUUU